AUUGAACGCUGGCGGCAUGCUUUACACAUGCAAGUCGAACGGUAACAGGUUAAGCUGACGAGUGGCGAACGGGUGAGGAAUGUAUCAGAAGGUGCCCAGUAGUGGGGGAUAACGCAGCGAAAGCUGUGCUAAUAUCGCAUACGAUCUCAGGAUGAAAGCGGGGGACCGAAAGGCACCGCGCGAUUGGAGCGGACCAUGUUAGAGUAGGUAGUUGGUGGGGUAAAGGCCCACCAAGCCAACGAUCUGUAGGUGGUCUGAGAGAACGACCAGCCACACUGGGACUGAGACACGGCCCAGACUCCUACGGAAGGCAGCAGUGGGGAAUUUUGGACAAUGGGGGUAACCCUGAUCCAGCAAUGCCGCGUGCAGGAAGAAGGCCUUCGGGUUGUAAACUGCUUUUGGACGGAACGAAAAGCUCUGGGCUAAUACCUUGGGGUCAUGACGGUACCGUAAGAAUAAGCACCGGCUAACUACGUGCCAGCAGCCGCCGUAA
rnacentral:rRNA from 1 species